GACGAACGCUGGCGGCGUGCUUAACACAUGCAAGUCGAACGGAAAGGCCCUGCUUGCAGGGUGCUCGAGUGGCGAACGGGUGAGUAACACGUGGGUGAUCUGCCCCUUACUUUGGGAUAAGCCUGGGAAACUGGGUCUAAUACUGGAUAGGACCAUGCUGUAGGUGGUGUGGUGGAAAGAUUAGUUUCGGUAAGGGAUGAGCUCGCGGCCUAUCAGCUUGUUGGUGGGGUAAUGGCCUACCAAGGCGUCGACGGGUAGCCGGCCUGAGAGGGUGGACGGCCACAUUGGGACUGAGAUACGGCCCAGACUCCUACGGGAGGCAGCAGUGGGGAAUAUUGCACAAUGGACGCAAGCCUGAUGCAGCGACGCCGCGUGGGGGAUGACGGCCUUCGGGUUGUAAACUCCUUUCAGCCAUGACGAAGCCCUUGUGGUGACGGUAGUGGUAGAAGAAGCACCGGCUAACUACGUG
rnacentral:rRNA from 1 species